rnacentral:rRNA from 1 species
UACGUAGGGGGGCAAGCGUUGUCCGGAAUUAUUGGGCGUAAAGCGCGCGCAGGCGGUCAUUUAAGUCUGGUGUAUAAACCAAAGGCUCAACCUUUGGACGCAUGGAAACUGGGUGACUGGAGUGUAGGAGAGGAAAGUGGAAUUCCACGUGUAGCGGUGAAAUGCGUAGAGAUGUGGAGGAACACCAGUGGCGAAGGCGACUUUCUGGCCUAUAACUG